UUCUUCUUCCUCUCGGCCGAACCCAACACCCUCAUCAUCAUCAUUUUUCAAAUAAGUCUCAUACAUUCCAAGCUUAUAAUAUGGUUCUAGAAGGUGCACAAAGGAGCUAGGAGCUUUCGGAAGAUCAAGAACCUUCACCGUUUGCUUUUAUCCACUUCAUUUAUCCUCUUGAUCAUCCCUAGCCUUGAGCUAGUGGUAGUCAUGUACACCAGAGGACACUUUGAGUUACAGGCGGAUUCGAAGAACGCAAAUCUGAAAUUAAGUAUGGAUCUGGCGGGCGUUGGAGUUUACAAGUCAUGUCUCUAAUAAAAGAUGUCAUUCGGUGUCGAAUGGUUUAGAGUGUGUAUCCUACCCUGGAUAGGAUACAUGU
rnacentral:lncRNA from 1 species